rnacentral:rRNA from 1 species
CAAAGGAAGCGAUUCCGGCGGGGGAUGGACAUGCGGCGCAUUAGCUAGUCGGCGGGGUAACGGCCCACCGAGGCGACGAUGCGUAGGGGUUCUGAGAGGAAGGUCCCCCACACUGGUACUGAGACACGGACCAGACUCCUACGGGAGGCAGCAGUGAGGAAUAUUGGUCAAUGGGCGGGAGCCUGAACCAGCCAAGUCGCGUGAGGGAAGACGGUCCUAUGGAUUGUAAACCUCUUUUGCCGGGGAGCAACGGGGUCCUUGCGAGGGCCUAAUGAGAGUACCCGGAGAAAAAGCAUCGGCUAACUCCGUGCCAGCAGCCGCGGUAAUACGGAGGAUGCGAGCGUUAUCCGGAUUUAUUGGGUUUAAAGGGUGCGUAGGCGGGCUGUUAAGUCAGCGGUCAAAUGUCGGGGCUCAACCCCGGCCUGCCGUUGAAACUGGUGGCCUCGAGUGGGCGAGAAGUAUGCGGAAUGCGUGGUGUAGCGGUGAAAUGCAUAGAUAUCACGCAGAACUCCGAUUGCGAAGGCAGCAUACCGGCGCCCGACUGACGCUGAGGCACGAAAGCGUGGGUAUCGAACAGGAUUAGAUACCCUGGUAGUCCACGCAGUAAACGAUGAAUGCUAGCUGUCCGGGGCUUCGGUCCUGG